ACACAAUGGGGUUGGUAAACAAGGUCACCGCUUUCUUAAAUAAUUGAACCACACGUGCGGUGUGCUUUGUUUGCGCAUUUUCUGUGAAAGGAGCUAACGCCAGUAAUAUAAACGGACAGUGUAAGUGGUUUCGGCCCUGUCAGAUCAAUGAUGAGGAUUGUUGGAAGCACAUACCUGGGAACCUCCCCACGUGUGCCAGAUGACGUUAGCACACUGGUCAGACGUGAAACUGGGAAAAGUUCCCAAAGGAUUGCUUCAUAGAUUCCGAAGUUCGGGCCCAGCCAAAUUCACCGCAUCUCUGAUACAAGCGUUGACGACCUUAAGACAAGACUCGAACACUUAAACGGAAGUGUUAAUAAAUUAAUUUGUAUACUUUGAAAAUACCAUUUAUUGGUUUUUACUUAAAACUUAACAGUCGUUGGAGUAUUAUUAAAAAGAAAAAUAUGCUAAUUAAAAACAACAACAAAAAACUACAACUAACAAUGUCAUGCAUGAAAUACCCCGCCUUGCGCUGUGUCAGAGAGCGCCAAGGGCAACAAUUCUAACCAUAUCAAAGCAAAAAUUAUGGCUUUUGUGCAGUGCAUUUUCCACCAAGGAGAUCGUUUUAAAUACAAAGUUUUCAGUU